rnacentral:rRNA from 1 species
AUCGGUGGAUCUGGUACUGGGGGCCAGCGGGAGCGGCCGUGAGCAAAAAUCCCGCCGGAUAGACCACACCCGUGUUUACCUACUCUUGUUGCUUUGGCGGGCCGUGGCCUCCACUACGGGCGCUGCUCGUACGUGCCCGCCAGAGGACCAAACUCUGAAUUAUAGUGAUGUCUGAGUACUAUCUAAUAGUUAAAACUUUCAACAACGGAUCUCUUGGUUCUGGCAUCGAUGAAGAACGCAGCGAAAUGCGAUAAGUAAUGUGAAUUGCAGAAUUCAGUGAAUCAUCGAAUCUUUGAACGCACAUUGCGCCCUGUGGUAUUCCGCAGGGCAUGCCUGUUCGAGCGUCAUUUAGACCACUCACGCCUGGCGUGGUAUUGGGGCACGCGGUUCCGCGGCCCUCAAAAUCAGUGGCGGCGCCGGUAGGCCCUAAGCGUAGUAAAUCUCCUCGCUAUAGGGUUCUCUCGGUGGCUCGCCAGAACCCCCAACUUCUCAAGGUUGACCUCGGAUCAGGUAGGGAUACCCGCUGAACUAA